GGUCGAUUGGCCCAGCGGUUAAGGCAUCUGCUUUACAAAGGACCUUCUAGCAUGGUUGUCUUGUCUCGCAGAGGAUCGCAGGUUCGAUCCCUGCAUCGAUCA
rnacentral:tRNA from 1 species